rnacentral:tRNA from 1 species
GAGGGUGUAGCUCAGUGGUGGAGCGCAUGCCUAGCGCGCAUGAGGUCCUGGGUUCCAUCCCCAGUACUGCCA